rnacentral:lncRNA from 1 species
UCAUACUUAUUUGAUUUAAAUUAGUACACAGUUCCAUAAUUAACAUACUACUAUAAUUCUUUUCUGAUUUUCUCCCUAUUUUCAAACUAUAAGUACAUUGCUCUUUUAUUAGCACAUACAUGAAUACUUUUUAAUUUUGAACCCUCACCUACACUCAAACACUAUCUUUGGCUUUACUACUUGUGUUGUGGCCUGUUUAGCUGGCUCAAAGCCAAAGCUAUACUUCAAGUCCUGCUACCUUUCUUUACUGUAUUUUGCUUCUUGGAAUUGGAAUGUUCUAGUUAACCCUUUAGCACCAACAACAACAUGAUUACUUAAUUUUCUUGAAUUCUUGUCUGCAUACUGCUUCUAUCUAUUUCAGUACAUUUACUUAGCAUGUUGCAAUUUCCUUGCUCAUAUUCUGAAUCAAUACAUUAUGAAUCCUAAACCUCAACCCUAAUGUGUUUGAUGCUUGUGGUUUGUUUGGGACAUGGCAGCAUCAAAUAUUGUUGAACAUGACUCAAACGUGAUCCUCCUAGGAUCAUGACCUCCAGGGUAUCUUUAUAUGUUGUGUGUUCUAAUUGAUUUACAAGCAUGACAACACCUCUAUUGUUGUAUAUGCCCAGAAACGACUCUUGCCUAAGUACAUAGCCUUUUUGCAAUUCCCAACCCCUGAACCCCUUUAGUGUAAAAUUAUCAACUUGUUUUGCAAUUCCCAACCCCUGAACCUCUAUUGUUGUAUAUGCCCAGCACCUCUUUCCAUCUUCUUUACUUCAUUAGUUCUUAAAGCUCUGUUUCUGUACUUGUACUCUCUCUUAGACUUAAGUCUUGCCCCCCUUAUGUGAGCCUUGUCUUGGGACCCAUGAGUUCCCUCUGAACUUGGACACAUGAGGACGGCACUUCCUUAUUACACUUGUUCCUAUUCUGGUGAUGUAAUUUGGGCGUGAACACUGCCCGGAAUCCUAUUGAGACUCUUAGGGAACUCUAACAUACUCAGAGUUUGAGAAAAACUUUGAAACACAUGGCAUUUGAGGGUGAUUUAGGCUUGAAAGUAUUAAAAAGUGAGUUCUUCUUUGAAGAUGUAGUGGUAGAUGAGGCAUUAUAAGUGUGUGAGUAUAAAAUCAAAGGCUUUAUAGGAAACUUGAGUGUUACUAUUUUGAGAGAUAGAUAUGAAAGAUUUUAUAUCGAUUUGUAUGGAUUCUGAGUGGGAUUGUGUA